rnacentral:rRNA from 1 species
AUGAACGCUGGCGGCGUGCCUAAUACCUGCCAGUCGAGCGAACAGACGAGGAGCUUGCUCCUCUGACGUUAGCGGCGGACGGGUGAGUAACACGUGGAUAACCUACCUAUAAGACUGGGAUAACUUCGGGAAACCGGAGCUAAUACCGGAUAAUAUAUUGAACCGCAUGGUUCCAUAGUGAAAGACGGUUUUGCUGUCACUUAUAGAUGGAUCCGCGCCGCAUUAGCUAGUUGGUAAGGUAACGGCUUACCAAGGCGACGAUGCGUAGCCGACCUGAGAGGGUGAUCGGCCACACUGGAACUGAGACACGGUCCAGACUCCUACGGGAGGCAGCAGUAGGGAAUCUUCCGCAAUGGGCGAAAGCCUGACGGAGCAACGCCGCGUGAGUGAUGAAGGUCUUCGGAUCGUAAAACUCUGUUAUUAGGGAAGAACAAAUGUGUAAGUAACUAUGCACGUCUUGACGGUACCUAAUCAGAAAGCCACGGCUAACUACGUG